UGUCUCCAAUAACUUUUGACUUAUACAAUGGAAUUCGAGUUUAUGUUUUAGAAAUAUGUUGCAAUUUUGUAUUUUCUUUUAAGAAUUUUGUUUAAUAAAAUAUAGGAGUGGAAGAAAUAGGGUAUAUUUCUUGCCGUACUCAACACUCAUGCUAUACUUAGU